GAUCUCUUAUGAGGCCGGUCAUCGGAAUGGGUACAAUUUAAACCCUUUAACGAGUAUCUAUGAGAGGGCAAGUCUGGUGCCACCAGCCGCGGUAAUUCCAGCUCUCAAAAUGCAUAGAAUUAUUGCUGCGGUUAAAAAGCUCGUAGUUGGAUCUGUGCUAGCCGUCCGGUGCACACUUUGUGUGUUACUGGUUCGGUUGGCUUUUCUGCCGGUCUCUCCCCGGCGUUGGCCUUUACCGGUCGGCGUCGGUGGGCUGGCGAGUUUACUUUGAACAAAUCAGAGUGCUUCAAACAGGCGUUUCGCUUGAAUGUUCGUGCAUGGAAUAAUAGAAGAGGAUUUCGGUCCGAUUUUAUUGGUUUUGCUGACCGAGAUAAUGGUUAACAGAGACAAACGGGGCCAUUCGUAUUGCUACGUGAGAGGUGAAAUUCUUGGACCGUAGCAAGACGGACUACAGCGAAAGCAUUUGGCAAGAAUGUCUUCAUUAAUCAAGAACGAAAGUCAGAGGUUCGAAGGCGAUCAGAUACCGCCCUAGUUCUGACCGUAAACGAUGCCAACUAGCGAUCCGCCGGCGGAUUUAUUCGCCCUGGUGGGGAGCUUCCCGGAAACGAAAGUCUUCCGGUUCCGGGGGAAGUAUGGUUGCAAAGCUGAAACUUAAGGAAUUGACGGAAGGGCACCACCAGGAGUGGAGCCUGCGGCUUAAUUUGACUCAACACGGGGAAACUCACCCGGCCCGGACACCGUAAGGAUUGACAGAUUGAUAGCUUUUUCAUGAUUCGGUGGAUGGUGGUGCAUGGCCGUUCUUAGAUCGUGGAGCGAUUUGUCUGGUUUAUUCCGAUAACGAGCGAGACUCUAGCCUACUAAAUAGUUGGCUCAUUGCUUCUGUGGGCACAACUUCUUAGAGGGAUUUUCGGCGCUCAGCCGCACGAAAUUGAGCAAUAACAGGUCUGUGAUGCCCUUAGAUGCCCGGGGCUGCACGCGCGCUACACUGGCAAAAUCCGCGUGCUUGUCCUUCCCCGAAAGGGGUUGUUAAACCGGUGAAAAUUUGCCUUGAUUGGGAUCGGACAUUGCUAUUAUUGUCCGUGAACGAGGAAUUCCUUGCAGGGGCGAGUCCUCAACUCGCUCUGAAUACGUCCCUGCCCUUUGUAC
rnacentral:rRNA from 1 species